UCCUACGGGGGGCAGCAGUAGGGAAUCUUCCACAAUGGGCGAAAGCCUGAUGGAGCGACGCCGCGUAGAGGAUGAAGGUCUUCGGAUUGUAAACUCUUUUCGUUUGGGAACAAGUGUAUCCACGUGAAUAAUGUGGGUAUUUGAUGGUACCAAAGGAAGAAGCUACGGCUAACUCUGUGCCAGCAGCCGCGGUAAUACAGAGGUAGCGAACGUUGUCCGGAUUUACUGGGCGUAAAGGGAUCGUAGGUGGUCAUAUAAGUCAGAUGUGAAAUCAUCCUGCUUAACAGGAUAAUUGCAUUUGAUACUGUAUGGCUUGAGUGCAGGAUGGGUAAAUGGAAUUUCCGGUGUAGCGGUGAAAUGCGUAGAUAUCGGAAAGAACACCCGUGGCGAAGGCGGUUUACUGGCCUGCAACUGACACUGAGGAUCGAAAGCCAGGGGAGCAAACGGGAUUAGAUACCCGUGUAGUCC
rnacentral:rRNA from 1 species